rnacentral:rRNA from 1 species
AUUGAACGCUGGCGGCAUGCUUUACACAUGCAAGUCGAGCGGCAGCGCGGGGCAACCUGGCGGCGAGCGGCGAACGGGUGAGUAAUGCAUCGGAACAUGUCCAUGUCGUGGGGGAUAGCCCGGCGAAAGCCGGAUUAAUACCGCAUACGACCUGAGGGUGAAAGCGGGGGAUCGCAAGACCUCGCGCUAUUGGAGCGGCCGAUAUCAGAUUAGGUAGUUGGUGGGGGUAAAAAGCCUACCAAGCCUACGAUCUGUAGCUGGUCUGAGAGGACGACCAGCCACACUGGGACUGAGACACGGCCCAGACUCCUACGGGAGGCAGCAGUGGGGAAUUUUGGACAAUGGGCGCAAGCCUGAUCCAGCCAUGCCGCGUGCGGGAAGAA